rnacentral:rRNA from 1 species
GAUGAACGCUGGCGGCGUGCCUAAUACAUGCCAGUCGAGCGAACAGAUGAGGAGCUUGCUCCCCUGACGUUAGCGGCGGACGGGUGAGUAACACGUGGAUAACCUACCUAUAAGACUGGGAUAACUUCGGGAAACCGGAGCUAAUACCGGAUAAUAUAUUGAACCGCAUGGUUCAAUAGUUAAAGACGGUUUUGCUUUCACUUAUAGAUGGAUCCGCGUCGCAUUAGCAAGUUGGUAAGGUAACGGCUUAACAAGGCAACGAUGCGUAGCCGACCUGAGAGGGACAUCGGACACACGGGAACAGAGACACAGCCGAGACACCUACGGUAGGCAGCAGCAGGGACUCUUCCGCAAUGGGCGAGAGCCUGACGUAGCAACGCCGCCUGAGUGAUGAACGACUUCGGAUCGUAAAGCUCUGUUAUCAGGAAAGAACAAAUGCGUAUUUAACCAUGCACGUAUUGACGGUACCGAAAGAGAAAGCCACGGCUAACUCCGUG